GGGGCCGACUUUGGAUUUGACGGCAAGAGAAAUGAUCCUGUAAGCAUAUCGAGUGUUGUGAAUGUGACUCGUAAAUCUCUAUUCUCAUCUCUAUAAACGGAGAAAACAACUACGCACUUGCUGCUUAAUCACAAGAUGUGAUUCGGCUUAAUCCCAUACAAGGUAUGCGGACAAGUUGCCCCGCUCAUGACUACCUGUUCAGCGGUUGUGAGCAACGGGGUAUCGUUGGCCUGAACUAGUUGAAGUUUUGCUUCGAGACAGAUACGAAAUUUUAGAAGCUAAGUCAUAGUUAGGCUGUUUGUGGUCAGGCUAUGGUCGAAAACCAAACACAAAAUAAGUAUGUAGAAAGCUUGGUCGUUCCUUGUUUGGACGAGGGUUCGAACCCCUCCGGCUCCACCU
rnacentral:tmRNA from 1 species